rnacentral:lncRNA from 1 species
GUAUGUUAAGGCUUUGGGAGAGUCUUAAGGCUUCAGAAGUGGUCUGAUGAGUGUGCAAAGAUAGGGUUAAGUCCAGGAGGGAUUUAGACACCAUUUAGAGAAGAUUUGGGUCAGACAGUAACUCCAAAGUUACCACAGUAACUUUGGAGAGUUAUCAUAGUAAGAUUGGAGAAGUUUGGGCAAGUUGGUGUAAAAGUGAAUAGUGAAUCACUAGUCACUAUUCAAGUUGACUAUCCACUAUUUGGGUCACUAUUCAGGAUGUGAAGAGUGUGCAUAGUAUAUGGAUAAGGCACCAAGGUUUGAAUCUAGUCAAAGGGAAUCAAGAAGAUGCUUUGUGGAGGCAAACAACCAAUGGGAGCUUCCUUGUGUGUGAUUGGCUAGUUCUGGUCUUGGACAGGCUGUCUCUUGCUGUAAAGAGAAGGGAGCCACGACCAUGAACCUGGACAGAUGCAUGGGAAGAUUAGGAGGAGCCUAAGGAGAGCCAAUCACAAGCAAGGAGCCAGCUUGCCUUGGUUUGAAUUAAAGUGAGCCAGCUUAGCUUAUCCAAUCAGCACACAUCACUCAGAUUACAACAAGACCAACUCAUCCUCACCAUCCAUUCCUCUUGAGUUAUUUCUAUCCAUUAGAUAUAGGUUUAUGAGUUUGCAAGAGUGUAAAACCUGUAUAAAGACCCUCAUGGGCGUUUGUAACUCUCUUAAGAGAGAAUGGGGGUUUUCCCAUCUCCUUCAUAAUUAUAAAAGUGUGUUCUUGAUCAGAUUCCCUUAAUCUACCCCUUUCUUAGUCUCUAAUCUCUUAAUCUCUCAAAGUCUCUUUGUUUCUGAUUCAAGUUCAUACUAGUUUCAUCAGACCUCUUAUUCAACUAGUUCAAGACCUUAUCUUUGCCUUUAAUGGCUUUUCUUACACAUACACAGCCA